GACGAACGCUGGCGGCGUGCUUAACACAUGCAAGUCGAACGAUGAAGCACCAGCUUGCUGGUGUGGAUUAGUGGCGAACGGGUGAGUAACACGUGAGUAACCUGCCCCUCACUCUGGGAUAAGCCUUGGAAACUGGGUCUAAUACUGGAUACGACCGAUCUCCGCAUGGAGUGUUGGGGGAAAGUUUUUGUGUUGGGGGAUGGACUCGCGGCCUAUCAGCUUGUUGGUGGGGUAGUGGCCUACCAAGGCGACGACGGGUAGCCGGCCUGAGAGGGCGACCGGCCACACUGGGACUGAGACACGGACCAGACUCCUACGGGAGGCAGAAGUGGGGAAUAUUGCACAAUGGGCGAAAGCCUGAUGCAGCGACGCCGCGUGAGGGAUGACGGCCUUCGGGUUGUAAACCACUUUCACCAGGGACGAAGCUAACGUGACGGUACCUGGAGAAGAAGCACCGGCUAACUACGUG
rnacentral:rRNA from 1 species